ensembl:processed_transcript 1700108F19Rik RIKEN cDNA 1700108F19 gene
CCAAGUCAUGAUCACAAAUGAGAAGAAGACUCGAGGGGAUUGAUGAGCUGAGGCCAGGCUGGACCACUAGAACGCAGCAAGAGCAGCUGAGCCCAGUGCUCUUGUCUCUGUUACGUACUGCCUCACAUUUCUUUCUGUUGAUUGUUGUCUGCGUGGAAAGUCAGAGUUGGGAGCAGGGGCUAUGAAGUUGGUGAGCCCUAAAUCACAUUUCCUCCUUUGUAAGAGAGUUGUGCACCCAGGGCACAGUCAAGACAGAAACUGAGGGUAGAAACAGAAGGGGUGUGGCAGCUAAGAUCAUCUUGUUCUCUCAGGAAAGCCUAUGGGAGACUUCUGAUCCCAUUUCGUAGGCAGAAUAGGGGGUCACCUAUUAUGUUAUCAUCUAGCCUCAAGAAAGGAACCAUUAAGCUGUAGCCUCUGUAGUUGGAGGUAGGAGUGAGAAGGGGGUGGGACCUGGCUCUCUGGGUCAAUUAGCAUAGUCUGUCUCAGGUAGAUCCUGAAUCCCAGGGAGCUGUAGACGUGGUGCAGGUCAUGGCUAGCCUCAUGCCUCUGGUCACCCUAUCCAGACAAGUUGAGUGGCAGUAGUGGAGAUGGUCUGAUGUCUCAGCCUGGUGGGACUCACUGCCGACUCCCCAGGCCCACCAUUGGAGUAAUGGCUGUCUUUCUUUGAGAGCAUAUAGGUGGAGCGUAAGGGAGAGGGAGAUGGAUGAGGUCAUACUAUUGCAAUCACCUGGAAAAAAAUACACAAACUUCCAAAACUGCAAGAUGCUUUCUACUGCCACCAGACAUCCUUUAGAGGUUUUCCUACAGAUUAAUAACCAGGAACUUGUUGGCGUCUGACAGAGCAUCUCAGAUUUCUUACAUAAAAUGUGGAAUUGUCAACAGUCAGAUGCAUCAGUGGCCAAGGCUGUGGUGUGCAGUUUCUAUCAGUGUGUACAGGACAUCCUGCCUGGUUUUGGCCUCAAGGAAGCAAUGGUGAGAUUUCGUAGCUCAUCGUCUCCUGGUUGGAGCAAAGGGUGCCAAACAGAGGUCAAGCUCGGGCCACAGGGAAACUGGGAAAAUACGUUCAUUGCCAUGUGCGAGGAGUCCAGUGGAUUUCAGAAAUCUUCUGUGUCUUCUUAUAGGCUACAGUGACAGCCCCUUACUGGAAGAACAUUUUUAGAGCUGCCAUUGAUGGACACAGAGAGUGUUAAAACCCAGAGCACAUAAACCAGGAUGAGAAAAUUAAUCAGAAGAUAAAAGACAGCGGCUUUGGGGACCCUGGCCGAGCCCUCCUGCAUGCUCCUGGGACAUCCUUUCAGACCAGCAGCACCAUCCCGUGCAGGGGCUGUGACAGAUGACUUAUAAUGUAGACAUCACCUCUGCUGGUGGACAGCCUUCGGAUCUGCUGAGUCCUUUUAUAAUAAAUAAAACCAAACAUG